UGCUAGCCCCUCUGGGAAUCAGGUGUCCGUGCGUAUCUAGUAGCUCAAGCUGGUUGAAAUCAUCCGGAAAAUCCAUGCUGGGCGUCUGUUUAUAAGAGUAACAUGGAAUACGGUGCUCUUCAGAGGUUCUGGAACAGUCAGGCCAAUUCCUUCAUUUUCAUCUGUAGACUGGGUUUCCUGUGCAAAGGAUCUUGAGCUUUUAAUGGACGAUGGCCAUGAAGUCCACCACGAUGAAGAGCCCUCAUAACAGUCGCAUUGAACCAAAGGAAGUGACAAUCACCUUUUUUUUCAGAGAUCUAUGGAUUUUUGUUCACAUGGUCUUGAAAGUUCUGAUCAUCUCGCGUUUUCGACCACGGCCAGGUUUAUUUUUGACAUAAUUUGUUUCUUUCUGCUUUGCAAUGAUGCAUUGCAUCUGCUCCUUACUGAUUAAGGGAGAAAAAAAUUAGGAGCAUCUCUAGACCAGUCCCUUUCCAUCAAGUGGUCAGGUACACUAACCCUGUCUCUUGGGGUCACAACAUUACGUGUUAAUUGGCUGCUCAGGUGUGAUUCUCACUAAAUUGACUAACUUUACUUUAAAGUUAUUUAAAUUGAGUAACUUUCUCUCAUACAUCUUGAAUAUUAAUUUUCUAUUCAAGUGUACCAAAAUUGGACCAUAUAAUCGAUGAAUGGUUUACAAUAUACAGUGGUACCUUGGUUAACACCCUCCCCAGUUAAGACAUUUUUUGGUUAAUAUCCAAAAUUUAUGCAGAAAUUCUGCUGUGGUUUGCCUGCAAUAUGGUGUGCAUAACAAACUGUUGUGUUUGUGCUUUGGUUUGUUUAUGCAUCUUGGAUCACAUCAAAACAAAAUCUUGCAAAACUUAGUUCAGACUUUACUACUCUUCGACUACUUUCUACUUUCUUUCUAGAUGGUAAGCGUGUCAACUACAGGUAAAACGAUUUUAAAUGUCCAUUUCUUAUGUCCUGUUUUAUGGCAUUAUUUUUUUGAAUAUAGUUGGGUUUACAUUAGAGGUCUACACGGCUGUGCUUUUCCUCGGCCGCCCUGCCCCACGGCCGUGGCACGACAGCCACAGCCGUCCACAGCCGUGGUGAGAUUUGAAUAAGCGCAAAAAUUAAAUUACCUCUUUUCAGCUCAAGAUAGUAUAAAUUGUGUGGAAAAAGAUGAUAUAAGGAAGGAUUAUGGACAAUAUAGGUGGACUUUCAAGAAACAAAUGAGGCUAUCAAUAUUUUUUUAUAUUAGUUUUCCACAGCCGUGGCCAUGUUCUUGAGAUUUCUUCAGCCCGCCUCGCCCCAUUAGCCGAUGAGUCCGGCCAGCCGUGGGGCCAGCCGCUCCGUGUAGACCUUGAGUUUACAUUAUUUUUCACUUGUUUUGGAUAGAAUCCGUUUUGGUGUGAGUCGGAUCUUCUGGAAUGGAUUAAUGAUGCGAACCGAGGCACCACUCUACAAUGUUAUGCAUAUGUUGUACAAGGUUAUGAAAAUGUUCAAAAGUUCCUAUUUGAUUAAAAUCGUAUCAAGUCAAGUGUUUGGGAGUGUAACCAACAGUGGAGUGGCCGUGCUCGGAGGUGGCUGUGGGUGGAAUAAAUUAAAAGGGACAAUUUUGGAAAGCCAAGGAAAUAUACCUGGAAAAGGUGCAGAACCACAACUCAAGACAAAUGGUUGAAAAUGAGCAUAAUAAGUCUCCAAAAUAAGGCAAAAUACUGUAAGCAGUGUCAUAAACAUACCCGUUGCUACAUGGCCACAGUAUGAAUACAAAACAAUAAAAUGCUGUUGGACGUUUUGGAGGUGUUUUAAAAGAGGUCUCUAUAGGCAGACUAAGUGAAUCCCAUUAUGUGCAUUGUUAGCUGCCAAAAAAAGAGAACGACAUGGAUGGCCAUGUCUCACAUAAGAAUCGUGGAUCAUAAGCAAAGUUCCUUUAACUGCAUUUUAAGCAUAAACAUGCUUAUAAACAUGCUUGUUAAUUCACAGAAUUACCUGCAUAACCAUGCCUACAAAUACUCUGAAACACUUCAUCUGCCUUGGGCCUCUUCAUAUACCGUAACAGAUGGAAGACAGUCAUUGCAAAGCACAAUGUACUUUCCGACAGUGAAUACGUUUUCACAGCAGUCUUCAACAGCAUUUAUUUAGCGGCAAUUGAGUACUAUUGACCGAAAGAAACAUGCAAUUGGAAGAUUCGUUGAAGAUUUAUUGAGCUGUAAGAGGACCUAUUAUGCUCAUUUUUCAGCCCUUUGUAUUGAGUUGUGGACUCCUGUAGAGUUGGCCAAUUUAUCACAUCUACUCUUCAGUGGUUUGGUCACUGGUUCCUCGUCCGUCCAUCCAUUUUGUAUACCGCUUUAUCCUCACGAGGGUCGCAGGCAUGCUGGAGCCUAUCCCAGCUGUCUUCGAGCGAGAAGUGGUAUACACCCUGGACUGGUUGCCAGCCAAUCACAAACAACCAUUCACACUGUGGGAAGAAACUGGAGUACCAGGACAAAGGUGCAGAUAGAAAGGCUUCACAAAAAUAGAUUCAUUGGGUCAUAAAAUGUGGAGGAGCUGAAGUAUCUAUGAAGUAUUGUUCUUCAGUGAGACUGACAUACAGACCGACCGACAUCUGCAUUAAGCUGGUCGCUAUGCCUGCAUUGUCAUGGUGGAGAGAGCGCUGUGCCCGA